CAGUCGCCACGGUAAUACGUAGGGUGCGAGCGUUAAUCGGAAUUACUGGGCGUAAAGCGUGCGCAGGCGGUUAUAUAAGACAGAUGUGAACUCCCCGGGCUCAACCUGGGACCUGCAUUUGUGACUGUAUAGCUAGAGUACGGUAGAGGGGGAUGGAAUUCCGCGUGUAGCAGUGAAAUGCGUAGAUAUGCGGAGGAACACCGAUGGCGAAGGCAAUCCCCUGGACCUGUACUGACGCUCAUGCACGAAAGCGUGGGGAGCAAACAGGAUUAGAUACCCCUGUAGUCCCUGUCUCUUAUCC
rnacentral:rRNA from 1 species